rnacentral:lncRNA from 13 species
AUUUUACUCUCAUCUUUUGUACCCACAUCUCCGGAAGAGCUGUGUUCAUAAGUGUGGAGGCAAGAAAAGAGCUUUCUGACGAGUCAGAAGCUGGUCAUGGGAAGAAAAUGAGGGCCUCUCCUAGGAAAGAAAGGAAAAAAAAAGGCAGUCCAGCUACAAGAGGAGGAAGUGCGAAGGCCAGAGGUGGGAAUGAAUGUGGCAGGAAGAAUUGAUUUUUGAUUGCACAAGUGAGGUGAUUGCAAAAACAGCCACGGAUUCUUCCCAUCCCUGUUUGUGUGCUCUUUGCCAUGACUUUGCCGGAACUUUUAAGAGGUAUCCACCCCAUGAAUCUGGCUGGAACACGUGACUUGCUUUGGCCAAUGGGACAAUAACAGCCAUGAAUUAAGUAGAGGCUUGAAGAGCCUGUACAUGGAGCUUCCUUCUCAGGAUCCCUGCUACGGCCCCAGUGUGCAGAAGCCAAGACUAGCCUGCUGGGUAAUGAGAGACAGAUGGCUCAGUGAUUCUGGCUUCCUAGCCAAUAGCCAGCAAGCCCCAGAAGCAGAGCCACGUAGAUAAAUGGCAGAUGACUGCAGACACUUGGAGGAGCCCACCCAAGAUCAGCGAAAGAACUGCCAGGCUGAGCCUGGCCCAAAAUGCUGACCCUCAGAAUCAUUAGCUAACUGUGCAAUUGGUAUUUUAAGCCACAGUUUCUCAUCCAUAAAGUGGAAGUAAUAAUAGUGUUUUCUUACUAGGGUUUUUUUUUUUAUUGAUAGGGUUUUUAUAUAGAUUCAUUAGAGCAAUUGAGACAAAGUUCUGAAAACAACACUUAGCACAAUAAAUGUUAAUUCUUCUUUUAUAAUAAUAAUUAC